UACGUAGGGUGCGAGCGUUGUCCGGAAUUAUUGGGCGUAAAGAGCUUGUAGGCGGUUUGUCGCGUCUGCCGUGAAAAUCCGAGGCUCAACCUCGGACUUGCGGUGGGUACGGGCAGACUAGAGUGCAGUAGGGGAGACUGGAAUUCCUGGUGUAGCGGUGAAAUGCGCAGAUAUCAGGAGGAACACCGAUGGCGAAGGCAGGUCUCUGGGCUGUAACUGACGCUGAGGAGCGAAAGCAUGGGGAGCGAACAGG
rnacentral:rRNA from 1 species